GAGGGGGAAGAAGCUGCUAGACUGUCCCCACGGCAGCAUUAUCCGCAUGCCAUAGCCGGGGAGCAGGAGUCACGAGCAGUUAGAGAGGAGGUUAUAAAAGGGGCUGCUGGUGCGGCAGUUGGAAAAGAGCCGGUAGCCUGUGAAACAGUGAGGAGCAGUGAUGGAGGACAGGGGGAUCUCUUAUGAGUAAAGGAGGUGACCCCCGUCAAAAUCAGUUCAGUGAAGUGUGGGAAUUGCUGACACCGGGAGCUGCCGCGGUGGUAGACGCGUGAGUGAGGAGAGACUACAGUCCAGGAUGGACAGCGCCUUACCUCUCUCUGCCAGCACUGAUUGCAUAGGAGGCCAGGAGAGUGACAGUGUGGAGGGCUGGAGCACUGGUCAAGCAAGUCGAUCCUCCAAAUUCAGUGGCUGGUAGAAGUAGGGACAGCCUCCCUAAAGAAUCGAAGGGGCUAGGCUACAGCACAGACCCAUAGACCCAAAUUCGGUGUGGUAUGACUGGUGUUGCUGGAAGUCGUAUGGAGAGAGCUGGAAAAGAGAACAGUGGAGGGGGAAGAAGCUGCUAGACUGUCCCCACGGCAGCAUUAUCCGCAUGCCAUAGCCGGGGAGCAGGAGUCACGAGCAGUUAGAGAGGAGGUUAUAAAAGGGGCUGCUGGUGCGGCAGUUGGAAAAGAGCCGGUAGCCUGUGAAACAGUGAGGAGCAGUGAUGGAGGACAGGGGGAUCUCUUAUGAGUAAAGGAGGUGACCCCCGUCGAAAUCAGUUCGGUGAAGUGUGGGAAUCGCUGACAUCGGGAGCUGCCGCGGUGGUAGACGCGUGAGUGAGGAGAGACUACAGUCCAGGAUGGACAGCGCCUUACCUCUCUCUGCCAGCACUGAUUGCAUAGGAGGCCAGGAGAGUGAAAGUGUGGAGGGCUGGAGCACUGGUCAAGCAAGUCGAUCCUCUUACUGCCUCUGCAGCUAACUUUCCUCUUGUUUUGUUUUUUUCUUUACCACUCUAUAAUUAAAUAAUUUUACAUACCCUGA